rnacentral:rRNA from 1 species
CCUACGGGAGGCAGCAGUGGGGAAUCUUGCACAAUGGGCGCAAGCCUGAUGCAGCCAUGCCGCGUGUAUGAAGAAGGCCUUCGGGUUGUAAAGUACUUUCAGUCGUGAGGAAGGUGUUAAGGUUAAUAACCUUAGCAAUUGACGUUAGCGACAGAAGAAGCACCGGCUACCUCCGGCCCAGCUCCCGCGGUAUUACGAGGGGUGCGGCAUUUAACGGAAUUUAUGGGCGUAAAGGGCAAGCAGGCGGGUAAUUAAGUUGGAUGUGAAAUCCCCGGGCUUAACCUCGGAAUGGCAUUCAAGACUGGUUAGAUAGAGUCUUGUAGAGGGGGGUAGAAUUGCAUGUGUGGCGGUUAAAUGCGUAGAGAUGUGGAGGGAUAACGGUGGCGAAGGCGGCCCCCUGGACAAAGACUGACGCUCAUGUGAGAAAGCGUGAGGAGCAAACAGGAUUAGAUACCCAUGUAGUC